ensembl:miRNA mdo-mir-12409 mdo-mir-12409
UCUGGCCACCAGUUGCUUUCCAAUUAUGAGCCAAAGGAAGGGAGCUGUUGGCCCCUGGCCCA